rnacentral:rRNA from 1 species
UACAGAGGGUGCAAGCGUUAAUCGGAAUUACUGGGCGUAAAGCGCGCGUAGGUGGUUUGUUAAGUUGGAUGUGAAAGCCCCGGGCUCAACCUGGGAACUGCAUCCAAAACUGGCAAGCUAGAGUAUGGUAGAGGGUGGUGGAAUUUCCUGUGUAGCGGUGAAAUGCGUAGAUAUAGGAAGGAACACCAGUGGCGAAGGCGACCACCUGGACUGAUACUGACACUGAGGUGCGAAAGCGUGGGGAGCAAACAGG